UUUCUACUCCCUCCGUCCAAAAAUACUUGUCAUCAAAAUGGAUAAAAAGACAUGUAUCUAAAACUAAAAUACGUCUAGAUACAUUUCCUUUUAUCCAUUUUGAUGACAAGUAUUUCCGGAGGGAGGGAGUAUUUG
rnacentral:pre_miRNA from 1 species